rnacentral:rRNA from 1 species
CAGCCGCCGCGGUAAUACGUAGGGUGCAAGCGUUAAUCGGAAUUACUGGGCGUAAAGCGUGCGCAGGCGGUUAUAUAAGUCAGAUGUGAAAUCCCCGGGCUCAACCUGGGAACUGCAUUUGAGACUGUAUGGCUAGAGUGUGUCAGAGGGGGGUAGAAUUCCACGUGUAGCAGUGAAAUGCGUAGAUAUGUGGAGGAACACCAGUGGCGAAGGCGACUCUCUGGUCUGUAACUGACGCUGAGGAGCGAAAGCCUGGGGAGCGAACAGGAUUAGAUACCCCUGUAGUCCCUGUCUCUUAUAC